rnacentral:rRNA from 1 species
GUGCCAGCAGCCGCGGUAAUUCCAGCUCCAAUAGCGUAUAUUAAAGUUGUUGUGGUUAAAAAGCUCGUAGUUGAACCUUGGGCCUGGCUGGCCGGUCCGCCUCACCGCGUGCACUGGUCCGGCCGGGCCUUUCCCUCUGUGGAACCCCAUACCCUUCACUGGGCGUGGCGGGGAAACAGGACAUUUACUUUGAAAAAAUUAGAGUGCUCCAGGCAGGCCUAUGCUCGAAUACAUUAGCAUGGAAUAAUAAAAUAGGACGCGCGGUUCUAUUUUGUUGGUUUAUAGGACCGCCGUAAUGAUUAAUAGGGACAGUCGGGGGCAUCAGUAUUCAACUGUCAGAGGUGAAAUUCUUGGAUCAGUUGAAGACUAACUACUGCGAAAGCAUUUGCCAAGGAUGUUUUCAUUAAUCAGGAACGAAAGUUAGGGGAUCGAAGACGAUCAGAUACCGUCGUAGUCUUAACCAUAAACUAUGCCGACUAGGGAUCGGACGGUGUUAUUCAUGACCCGUUCGGCACCUUACGAGAAAUCAAAGUGCUUGGGCUCCAGGGGGAGUAUGGUCGCAAGGCUGAAACUUAAAGAAAUUGACGGAAGGGCACCACCAGGGGUGGAGCCUGCGGCUUAAUUUGACUCAACACGGGGAAACUCACCAGGUCCAGACACAAUAAGGAUUGACAGAUUGAGAGCUCUUUCUUGAUUUGUGGGUGGUGUGCAUGGCCGUCUAGUGGUGGGGUGACUUGUCUGCUUAAUUGCGAUACGAACGAGACCUUAACUGCUAAAUAGCCCGCAU